UACGAAGGUGGCAAGCGUUGUUCGGAUUUACUGGGCGUAAAGGGAGCGUAGGUGGUUAGGUAAGCCCUCCGGGAAAUCUUCAGGCUUAACCUGAAAAGGUCGGGGGGGACUGCCUGGCUAGAGGACGGGAGAGGAGCGCGGAAUUCCCGGUGUAGCGGUGAAAUGCGUAGAGAUCGGGAGGAAGGCCGGUGGCUAAGGCGGCUCUCUAGUACGGUACUGACGCUGAGACGCGAAAGCGUGGGAGCGAACAGG
rnacentral:rRNA from 1 species